CGCUGGGUUAGUGCGCUGACAACACAGGUGGCGCUGGCGUUAUUGAGCUAGCGCCAAAAAAAUUGCGCAAUUACCCAUGAUUAUUGCUAAGCCAAAUA